GUCACCAUGGUAACGAGGCCUAGGCGAUGGUGCAAUCUUAACCAAAGCCUAAUCAAUCAGCACUCCACUCAUCCAUACAAGUGGGAUGCAUCAUGACUAGAUGCUGCCACACGAACGGAGUGUCUCCAGCAUUCUCCUUGUUUGAUUCAGAUUUCCAGCAUGUGCAAUAUUUUGCCUUUACUCCUCUACUGGAGAGUAAACUUACUUUAUUGGGAUAUUAAACCCACA